GGGGAGCGUAGGGUGGGUUCCUGUUGUAGGACUCAGGCUCCGUGUUCGUCGAGAAAUCCGCCGGGAACACGGGGGAUCUCAGCUGUACCCUCAAGGGGCUUACGUAAAGUUGUAAACAAUAAACGAAGGCAAACGCAUUAAGUCAAAAUAUGACCGGUGUUUAAAGAGUUUGAGCCUCAUGAGGGUGACUGUGUGGUCCACAGCUGUGAUUUCUGACAUCUGUCUAGUACAGUAGGUGUACAUGGAGAAGAGCAGCGUGGGUGCAGAAGGGAUUAUGAUCCCCUUUACAUUUGAGAAAACUGAGGCUCCGAGAGCCUCUCUUUUUCUACCAGGUACCUCCGGGCAUCUUCCUCAGCUCGGUUCUUACCGUACUUGUAUUGAUUGGCACCUGCACAGAUAGAAGACAGGAAAAGGCCCCCAUUCCUGACCUCUGCUCUUGUAGGGAUCGCAGUGGUCCCCCAGUGAUGCAUGCAAAAAUCAAUUCUUGUCACAAUGGCCCUGAUCACAAAGAAAGCAUGGAGGGCAGAGAAGGGGACCCAUACUUCCCCCAACUUGCCAGAUACACAAUGGCAUCCCAGGGGAGUUUUCUCCCAGACUUUUGGAUUCGAUAGACUGGUAAAUAAAAAUAAAUAAAU